GGGCCCGCACAAGCGGUGGAUUAUGUGGAUUAAUUCGAUGCAACGCGAAAAACCUUACCUGGCCUUGACAUGUACCGAAUUUAGCAGAGAUGCUUUAGUGCUCGAAAGAGAACGGUAACACAGGUGCUGCAUGGCUGUCGUCAGCUCGUGUCGUGAGAUGUUGGGUUAAGUCCCGCAACGAGCGCAACCCUUGCCAUUAAUUGCCAUCAUUUAGUUGGGCACUUUAAUGGGACUGCCGGUGACAAACCGGAGGAAGGUGGGGAUGACGUCAAGUCCUCAUGGCCCUUAUGGCCAGGGCUUCACACGUAAUACAAUGGUCGGUACAGAGGGAAGCCAACCCGCGAGGGGAGCCAAUCUCAGAAAGCCGGUCGUAGUCCGGAUUGUUGUCUGCAACUCGACUGCGUGAAGUUGGAAUCGCUAGUAA
rnacentral:rRNA from 1 species